rnacentral:lncRNA from 1 species
GGCCAACCGGGCGCGCAGGCCCACAAUUGCGGUGGACUCGCAGGUCCCUUACAGCAUGCUGUUCCUGUCCCUAAGCUGAUGUGAGGUUUGCAUUCAGUUGCCCAGUUUAAGUCACGUCACAUUAUGCGAACUUUAGUGUGGACUCGCAGGUCCACGUAGGGUGGGACAUGAGCAGCCUUUGGAAAGGAAUGACGGUCUGCAAAACCAGCACUGGUGAUGUGCCGGUCACCAUGUAGCGGGUGUUAUAGUCGGGUGUCGGGCCCGUGAGUCUCGUUGCAGUAAGGCGGUCAGGUAUUACCUCUCGUAAACGCUAAGGUGUCAGGGUGGGUCCGCUGGCCCCUCUGAGCCCAGCGUUAAGUCCCGUGGCCUGAUCUGGAGAACGUGCACGUGGGUGUCAUACGUUCUGUUGUCCCCUCAUGGAGGAGUGAGCGUCUUCCCGGAGGCCUUAUAAAUCUUCUCUUAUGUUGUCAGUGGCGUAUGCCAAGUGCCUGUCUGUUCGCACUCAGAAUUUGGGGUUGGGGGGGAUGUCCGGGUAGUGGCGUCUGGGGAGGUGGGGGGUCAGGGUGCGUCCGCGUCUGGGUCACGUCUGUCGAGGUCGUCUCUGUAUUUGUCGGUCUAUGCGGCUUCGUCACUGUGUCCUUAUGUGCCGUAUUGGAGCCCGGUUGUGAAUUCUGCCUUGGUAGUAGUCAGUAUCCAGUGGGUCCAUAUGUCCGUGUACCUAUUCAAGGAGUUGGGUGUGGUCAUAAUGAGUUCCUCUAUGGCUCUGACAGUUUUCUUUUAUAACUAUGCUUUAUUUUGACAAUUCCAAGGGACAACUGUUUGCAAUCAGAAUAUGGUCUAGAUCAGGAGUUCCCAAAAGGUAGAUGUGACAAACUCAGUCAUAAAGGACUAUAUUCCACUAAGAUCCUACGCCUCUAGAUAGCUUCCUCACCUUACUGAGAGUCGAAGUGUCCAGACGCUAUUAGCAGGACCAACCUAAACCCGCUCUGGAACUCCGGUCCAGCCACUUGUUUCAGGAUUUCAAGGUCAUCUUUCACCUUCCAUUUCACCCCUUUCCCAGCGAGCUAGAGGAGCACUUUUUGGAGGGAAGCUUCUAUCUCCAUAACUAAACAAUCGCUCUCUGAAGUCACCAGGGAGAUAUUGCACCCGGUAAAUUAGUGAGGAUUGACCGUGACUGCAUGGAACUCUUUUCAGCAAAGGUUGUUGUAGCAGUCUGGAAAAACUUUUUUUUGACUGUGUGGCAUUUAGACAAUUCGGCAGGGAUUAAAGUGCCUUUUCGCCAGGCGGCCUCAGUACGUUCUGGAAAGAUACCCCAUGCUGGGGUUCUGUGUAUAAAUGUGUGUGCGCUCUGGCCUAAUAAAACCAGUUCCUGUACCAUUCAAGGCUUGACUAAUGUUUGGGUAUGCAUAAGUGAUAAUCACUGUUUCACUACGGGACAUGGGAGAAUCUACAGCGGAGGUACCACUCUGGGUACAGGCGCUUCAUUACAGUAGAUUCCUAGAUAUUGUGGGACUACAAAUCCCAUUAUGGAUUGCAUUCCUUUAGAAUGACAAAGCAUCAAGGAAUUUGAAGUUCUACACUAUGUGGAGAUCUACCUUUUGGGCACCCCUUGCA